rnacentral:rRNA from 1 species
GGCGGGGUGCUAUACAUGCAGUAGAACGCUGAAGACUUUAGCUUGCUAAAGUUGGAAGAGUUGCGAACGGGUGAGUAACGCGUAGGUAACCUGCCUACUAGCGGGGGAUAACUAUUGGAAACGAUAGCUAAUACCGCAUAACAGCAUUUAACCCAUGUUAGAUGCUUGAAAGGAGCAAUUGCUUCACUAGUAGAUGGACCUGCGUUGUAUUAGCUAGUUGGUGAGGUAACGGCUCACCAAGGCGACGAUACAUAGCCGACCUGAGAGGGUGAUCGGCCACACUGGGACUGAGACACGGCCCAGACUCCUACGGGAGGCAGCAGUAGGGAAUCUUCGGCAAUGGGGGCAACCCUGACCGAGCAACGCCGCGUGAGUGAAGAAGGUUUUCGGAUCGUAAAGCUCUGUUGUAAGAGAAGAACGUGUGUGAGAGUGGAAAGUUCACACAGUGACGGUAACUUACCAGAAAGGGACGGCUAACUACGUGCCAGCAGCCGCGGUAAUACGUAGGUCCCGAGCGUUGUCCGGAUUUAUUGGGCGUAAAGCGAGCGCAGGCGGUUUAAUAAGUCUGAAGUUAAAGGCAGUGGCUUAACCAUUGUUCGCUUUGGAAACUGUUAGACUUGAGUGCAGAAGGGGAGAGUGGAAUUCCAUGUGUAGCGGUGAAAUGCGUAGAUAUAUGGAGGAACACCGGUGGCGAAAGCGGCUCUCUGGUCUGUAACUGACGCUGAGGCUCGAAAGCGUGGGGAGCAAACAGGAUUAGAUACCCUGGUAGUCCACGCCGUAAACGAUGAGUGCUAGGUGUUAGGCCCUUUCCGGGGCUUAGUGCCGCAGCUAACGCAUUAAGCACUCCGCCUGGGGAGUACGACCGCAAGGUUGAAACUCAAAGGAAUUGACGGGGGCCCGCACAAGCGGUGGAGCAUGUGGUUUAAUUCGAAGCAACGCGAAGAACCUUACCAGGUCUUGACAUCCCGAUGCUAUUCCUAGAAAAUAGGAAGUUUCUUCGGAACAUCGGUGACAGGUGGUGCAUGGUUGUCGUCAGCUCGUGUCGUGAGAAGUUUGGGGUUAAGUCCCGCAACGAGCGCAACCCCUAUUGGUAGUUGCCACCAUUAAGUUGGGCACUCUAGCGAGACUGCCGGUAUAAACCGGAGGAAGAGGGGGGGGGGAGGAAGUCCCAAUCAUCCUGGCCCCUUAUGAACCGGGGGGUACACCCUGGCUCCAAAGGGUUGGGUCAAAAAAAUCCCCAACUCUGUGUAG